CGGACGGGUGAGUAACGCGUGAGAAUCUGCCUUCAGGUUCGGGACAACCAUUGGAAACGGUGGCUAAUACCGGAUGUGCCUAAGGGUGAAAGAUUUAUCACCUGAAGAUGAGCUCGCGUCUGAUUAGCUAGUAGGUGUGGUAAGGGCGCACCUAGGCGACGAUCAGUAGCUGGUCUGAGAGGAUGAUCAGCCACACUGGGACUGAGACACGGCCCAGACUCCUACGGGAGGCAGCAGUGGGGAAUUUUCCGCAAUGGGCGAAAGCCUGACGGAGCAAUACCGCGUGAGGGAGGAAGGCUCUUGGGUUGUAAACCUCUUUUCUCAGGGAAGAAAAAAAUGACGGUACCUGAGGAAUAAGCAUCGGCUAACUCCGUGCCAGCAGCCGCGGUAAUACGGAGGAUGCAAGCGUUAUCCGGAAUGAUUGGGCGUAAAGCGUCCGCAGGUGGCUAUGUAAGUCUGCUGUUAAAUAGUGAGGCUCAACCUCAUAAAGGCAGUGGAAACUACAUGGCUAGAGUGCGUUCGGGGCAGAGGGAAUUCCUGGUGUAGCGGUGAAAUGCGUAGAGAUCAGGAAGAACACCGGUGGCGAAAGCGCUCUGCUAGGCCGCAACUGACACUGAGGGACGAAAGCUAGGGGAGCGAAUGGGAUUAGAUACCCCAGUAGUC
rnacentral:rRNA from 1 species